rnacentral:rRNA from 1 species
GAUGAACGCUGGCGGCGUGCCUAAUACAUGCAAGUCGAGCGAACAGACGAGGAGCUUGCUCCUCUGACGUUAGCGGCGGACGGGUGAGUAACACGUGGAUAACCUACCUAUAAGACUGGGAUAACUUCGGGAAACCGGAGCUAAUACCGGAUAAUAUAUUGCACCGCAUGGUUCAAUAGUGAAAGACGGUUUUGCUGUCACUUAUAGAUGGAUCCGCGCCGCAUUAGCUAGUUGGUAAGGUAACGGCUUACCAAGGCAACGAUGCGUAGCCGACCUGAGAGGGUGAUCGGCCACACUGGAACUGAGACACGGUCCAGACUCCUACGGGAGGCAGCAGUAGGGAAUCUUCCGCAAUGGGCGAAAGCCUGACGGAGCAACGCCGCGUGAGUGAUGAAGGUCUUCGGAUCGUAAAACUCUGUUAUUAGGGAAGAACAAAUGUGUAAGUAACUAUGCACGUCUUGACGGUACCUAAUCAGAAAGCCACGGCUAGCUACGUG